rnacentral:scRNA from 1 species
GCAAAUUAUCAGGUAACAUCUGAUCAGGUCAA